AAGUCGUAACAAGGUUUCCGUANGUGAACCUGCGGAAGGAUCAUUAGUGAAUUAAACAUGCUUGGUGUCUUCGCUUCGGCAAGGCCCUUGCUUAAAUCACAUCCUAACACCUGUGAACUGUAAGACGUAUGAUGAGGUCUUUGGCCAAGUCAUCGUCUGCCCAUUUUUAACAAACAAUUAAUGUAACAAACGUAGUCUUAUUAUAACCUAAUAAAACUUUCAACAACGGAUCUCUUGGCUCUCGCAUCGAUGAAGAACGCAGCGAAAUGCGAUAAGUAAUGUGAAUUGCAGAAUUCAGUGAAUCAUCGAAUCUUUGAACGCACCUUGCGCUCUUUGGUAUUCCGAAGAGCAUGCCUGUUUGAGUGUCAUGAAAAUAUCAACCUUGACUUGGGUUUUGUGCUCUAGUCUUGGCUUGGAAUUGGGUGCUUGCCGCUUUUACGAGCGGCUCACCUUAAAUGUAUUAGCUGGAUCUGUCUUUGAGACUUGGUUUGACUUGGCGUAAUAAGUAUUUCGCUAAGGACAUUCUUCGGAGUGGCCUCGUUUCUAGGACGCUUGUCCGCUUCCCAAUACAAGUUCCACCUCGUGGACAUGACUUUUUUAUUAUCUGGCCUCAAAUCAGGUAGGACUACCCGCUGAACUUA
rnacentral:rRNA from 1 species